AGUGGGGAAUUUUCCGCAAUGGGCGAAAGCCUGACGGAGCAAGACCGCGUGAGGGAAGAAGGUCUGUGGAUUGUAAACCUCUUUUGACAGGGAAGAAGUUCUGACGGUACCUGUCGAAUCAGCCUCGGCUAACUCCGUGCCAGCAGCCGCGGUAAUACGGAGGAGGCAAGCGUUAUCCGGAAUUAUUGGGCGUAAAGCGUCCGUAGGUGGUUGUUCAAGUCUUCUGUCAAAGCGCGGAGCUUAACUCCGUAAAGGCAGAGGAAACUGAGCGGCUAGAGUGCGAUAGGGGCAAGGGGAAUUCCCAGUGUAGCGGUGAAAUGCGUAGAUAUUGGGAAGAACACCGGUGGCGAAAGCGCCUUGCUGGGUCUGCACUGACACUGAGGGACGAAAGCUAGGGGAGCGAAAGGGAUUAGAUACCCCUGUAGUCCUAGCUGUAAACGAUGGGUACUAGGCGUUGUCCGUAUCGAC
rnacentral:rRNA from 1 species